CAGCUUGCUGCUUUGCUGACGAGUGGCGGACGGGUGAGUAAUGUCUGGGAAACUGCCUGAUGGAGGGGGAUAACUACUGGAAACGGUAGCUAAUACCGCAUAACGUCGCAAGACCAAAGAGGGGGACCUUAGGGCCUCUUGCCAUCGGAUGUGCCCAGAUGGGAUUAGCUAGUAGGUGGGGUAACGGCUCACCUAGGCGACGAUCCCUAGCUGGUCUGAGAGGAUGACCAGCCACACUGGAACUGAGACACGGUCCAGACUCCUACGGGAGGCAGCAGUGGGGAAUAUUGCACAAUGGGCGCAAGCCUGAUGCAGCCAUGCCGCGUGUAUGAAGAAGGCCUUCGGGUUGUAAAGUACUUUCAGCGGGGAGGAAGGGAGUAAAGUUAAUACCUUUGCUCAUUGACGUUACCCGCAGAAGAAGCACCGGCUAACUCCGUGCCAGCAGCCGCGGUAAUACGGAGGGUGCAAGCGUUAAUCGGAAUUACUGGGCGUAAAGCGCACGCAGGCGGUUUGUUAAGUCAGAUGUGAAAUCCCCGGGCUCAACCUGGGAACUGCAUCUGAUACUGGCAAGCUUGAGUCUCGUAGAGGGGGGUAGAAUUCCAGGUGUAGCGGUGAAAUGCGUAGAGAUCUGGAGGAAUACCGGUGGCGAAGGCGGCCCCCUGGA
rnacentral:rRNA from 1 species